AGUGAACGCUGGCGGUAGGCCUAACACAUGCAAGUCGAACGGCAGCACAGUAAGAGCUUGCUCUUACGGGUGGCGAGUGGCGGACGGGUGAGGAAUACAUCGGAAUCUACUUUUUCGUGGGGGAUAACGUAGGGAAACUUACGCUAAUACCGUAUACGACCUACGGGUGAAAGCAGGGGAUCUUCGGACCUUGCGCGAUUGAAUGAGCCGAUGUCGGAUUAGCUAGUUAGCGGGGUAAAGGCCCACCAAGGCGACGAUCCGUAGCUGGUCUGAGAGGAUGAUCAGCCACACUGGAACUGAGACACGGUCCAGACUCCUACGGGAGGCAGCAGUGGGGAAUAUUGGACAAUGGGCGCAAGCCUGAUCCAGCCAUACCGCGUGGGUGAAGAAGGCCUUCGGGUUGUAAAGCCCUUUUGUUGGGAAAGAAAAGCAGCAGGUUAAUACCCCGCUGUUCUGACGGUACCCAAAGAAUAAGCACCGGCUAACUUCGUG
rnacentral:rRNA from 1 species